rnacentral:rRNA from 1 species
ACAUACAAGUAGUAGGGAAAGGAAACUGGACGACCCUUCGGGGAGCUUGAACAGGUGCUGCAUGGCUGUCGUCAGCUCGUGUCGUGAGAUGUUCGGUUAAGUCCGCUAACGAGCGCAACCCUCGCUGUGUGUUACAAGUGUCACACGGAACUGCCGGUCAUAAACCGGAGGAAGGUGGGGAUGACGUCAAGUCAGCAUGGCCUUUAUAUCCUGGGCUACACACACGCUACAAUGGGAAGGGACAAUAGGUUGCGAAGCCGCGAGGCGGAGCCAAUCCAGCAAAACUUCCCUCAGUUCAGAUUGCAGGCUGCAACUCGCCUGCAUGAAGUUGGAGUUGCUAGUAAACGCAGGUCAGCCAUACUGCGUUGAAUACGUUCCCGGGGCUU